UACGGAGGGCGCAAGCGUUGUUCGGAAUCACUGGGCGUAAAGCGCGUGUAGGCGGCUUGUUAAGUCGGGGGUGAAAGCCCGGGGCUCAACACCGGAACUGCAUUCGAUACUGGCAGUCUGGAGGACGGUAGAGGCUAGUGGAAUUGCCGGUGUAGAGGUGAAAUUCGUAGAGAUUCGCCGGAACACCAGUGGCGAAGGCGACUGGCUGGACCGUUGCUGACGCUGAGGUGCGAAAGCGUGGGGAGCAAACAGG
rnacentral:rRNA from 1 species